GUAGUCCAAAGGCUGAGACGCGGUCAAACCAGCCACGAUGCGAACCUAGGAAUUCUUCGCUUCAAGCCUGGUGCUGGCUGUUAGUUUGGAACUCAUGCACCCAGAUGCUAACUCGCCCUCAGAAUGCAGAGGGGAUGAAACACUGACGGGACAUUUCAAUCUGUAUAUGGCCGCCGCCAUGAAUAUCGAGCUGUGCAGUUUCAGCGUGUACAAGAUCUACCCCGGACAGGGAAGGCGUUACGCCAGGACCGACGGGAAGGUUUUCCAGUUUCUUAAUGCAAAAUGCGAGUCGGCGUUCCUUUCCAAGAGGAAUCCUCGGCAGAUAAACUGGACUGUCCUCUACAGAAGAAAGCACAAAAAGGGACAGUCGAAAGAAAUUCAAAAGAAAAGAACACGACGAGCAAAUUCCAGAGGGCUAUUACUGGUGCAUCUCUUGCUGAUAUAAUGGCCAAGAGGAAUCAGAAACCUGAAGUUAGAAAGGCUCAACGAGAACAAGCUAUCAGGGCUGCCAAGGAAGCAAAAAAGGCUAAGCAAGCAUCUAAAAAGACUGCAAUGGCUGCUGCUAAGGCACUUACAAGGGCAGCACCUAAGCAAAAGAUUGUGAAGCCUGUGAAAGUUUCAGCUCCCCGAGUUGGUGGAAAACGCUAAGCUGGCAGAUUAGCUUUUUAAAUAAAGAUUGGAUUAUUAAAAAAAAAAA